GACGGAACGGCGCCAUCUCGAGCUUUUCGUCUAAUCCUCUUCGUUUUCGUUCGAGCUCAUCGGUGAAUUCUUCAGCUUCAGCAGAGAUAACGCAGGAUUCAUGUGAUGAGCCUUACACAUGGGACAAAUGCGAAAUGUACUGUUACACAUGCAAAAUAGUCCUGCAAGACUGCACUUCGGAGGAGACGCGUGAUGUAUCAUACGCAAUGGCAGUGGUAAGACUCCGCUAAUUUCAUGGAAAUUGAACGUUUGACAUUCAAUAUGCCUUCUCCCUCCUUGCGAGGAUGAAAGAUUGGACCAUUGGCGAGAUUUGCAACUUCGUCAUUCAUCAGUGCAGCAAAAACUCGGUGAUCAAUUCUGUUUAGGUCUGUCUGUGGUCAGAAUGGUAAAAAGAACUUGAUAUCCGUGCAAUCUCCUGUUACAAAGCAUCAUAAUGUUUCCUGUGGAACGUGUUGACAAAUUUCUGCUACGUAAUAGGGUCCAAAGAGGGUUUUAUAAUGUAUAAAUUGUCUUAAACCGUGAUUGAAGGGAAGUUUGAAAAGCAUUGAAGGCUGUGCUGUACAUGACUUUUGAUUUGAGUUUAGUUAAGGAUACUCCAGCGUCACUCCAA